CACCGGGCGGGCGGCCUGAGGGUGUCCCGCUGGGCUGUGGUCCCGGAGGCAGCCUGGCCGGUUCUCCGUCAGUCACAGGGGCUGUCAGUCUCAGGAAGGGUGUCCUUCCUUGUCCCGGCCUCGCCCUCUGCUCCUCAGUGGCGUGGCCUCCGGGGCCCUGCUCUCUCCUCCCUGCUUGCGCCUUCUGCCUGGUCCGGAUGUCCGAGCACAGACCUGGGAGUCACAGGUCCGGGCCUGACUCUUGUCUAAAACAGCAGCCCCACUCAGCACCCCACAUCGACCAGGCCCGGGCUCCCUGGGGUCAGGGCGGUGGUACCGGCGGCUGGGCACCCUGGUGGGCCGGUUGCAGAAUAAACGCAUGGACAAGGGCGGGUGGCCGUGGUGCCUGCGAUGCCUGUGUGGGACUUGGGAGUGGGACCAGGUGGGACGGAUGCCCUGCGCCUCCCGGAGCCAGGGCGGUUUCGUGGAGAAAGCGGAUUCAGAGCCGCAGAGGAGGCAGGGGUGCCCAGGGCGCUUUGACACCCUGCCCGUGGCUGCCCCUCUCCAUCCCUGCCUGGGAGCUGCCAGAAUGCAGACCCGCCACUGGGCCGAACCACCCGUGUAAUCUAACUGGACCAAUUCCCGCUUUUCAUAUCAGACCUUUGAGGAAUGUAUCAUUGGUCUCUGCCCCGGUUCCCCUGUUUUUUCCUGAAGAACAAAGAGGGGGUUUGGGAGGCUAAGACAAGCUUAUUUGUGUGAAUUCCUUAUAUUCAGGAAAAUAUUCUUCAUACAUGUAGAUGUAAAAAGAGUCUACUUAUACUAGUAAGUAGAAUCCUAUAUAAUAAAAGGCUAAUAUGCAAA